rnacentral:other from 1 species
CAACCUCUGCGGUGUUGGUGAGCGGAAGGCGCCAUUUUUCGACCGACGCCCUUGCAAGGGAACUUGAGUCUGCCGGCCGACCUGAAACCCCCGUUGCGGGGAACUACGAAGCCGGCAUCAAAGUGCCCACUUGGUUGCAGGGUCGGAGAGAUCUUCCGCCACGGCCUCGCGGAGGUUGU